CACUAGGAAGCUAAAUUAGGGUAACAGCAUUGGCCUUUUAAGCCAAAGAUUGGUGCCUCCCAACCACCUCUAGUGA
rnacentral:tRNA from 7 species